AAAUUGAAGAGUUUGAUCAUGGCUCAGAUUGAACGCUGGCGGCAGGCCUAACACAUGCAAGUCGAGCGGAAACGACAUUAACAAUCCU
rnacentral:rRNA from 1 species